AAAUUGAAGAGUUUGAUCAUGGCUCAGAUUGAACGCUGGCGGCAGGCCUAACACAUGCAAGUCGAGCGGUAGCACAGAGAGCUUGCUCUCGGGUGACGAGCGGCGGACGGGUGAGUAAUGUCUGGGAAACUGCCUGAUGGGGGGGGAUAACUACUGGAAACGGUAGCUAAUACCGCAUAACGUCGCAAGACCAAAGAGGGGGACCUUCGGGCCUCUUGCCAUCAGAUGUGCCCAGAUGGGAUUAGCUAGUAGGUGGGGUAACGGCUCACCUAGGCGACGAUCCCUAGCUGGUCUGAGAGGAUGACCAGCCACACUGGAACUGAGACACGGUCCAGACUCCUAC
rnacentral:rRNA from 1 species